rnacentral:rRNA from 1 species
GCUUACGGCCAUACCAGCCUGGGUACGCCCGAUCUCGUCUGAUCUCGGAAGCUAAGCAGGGUCGGGCCUGGUUAGUACUUGGAUGGGAGACCCCCUGGGAAUACCAGGUGCUGUAAGCA